CACGAGGGAUUGGUUCCAGGAACCCCAGGGAUGCCCAAAUCUGCAGUUAGCCCUGCGGAAUCCACACAUGAAGUUUUGGCUCUCCAUAUAUUUGAGGGGUCUGCAUCCCUCAAAUACUGUAUUUUCAAAUGUGCAUUGGUUGAAAAAAACAAAAAAAUCUGUUCGAGUGAACCCAUGCAGUUCAAAUCCGUGUUGCUCAAUAGUGAACUGUAUUUUGAAAAGCAAAGCAGGAUUUUGUCUUUUUGGCUUUUGUUUCAGUGCAGUAUUUAUUUUGAAAUUUCACAUAUCAAAAACAAUCUUGGUUUAUGUUUGUCAGAGGAUUUAAAAGUUUGAGAAACAUACUUCCAAGUCUAUUGAGAACAUAUAACAUAAAGAAAGUGUAUGUAUAAAAUAGAGCUAAGUGAUUUCACCACUGCAGUCUAGGGCCUAGUAUAGGUUUGUGCUGGCCCUCACCCUGUUCCAGACUGUGUACUUCAUUCUCUUUUGUUGGAUGUAGUGGACACAGAUAAAUAGUAGUGGCUGGCUGAUAAGAGAAUCAAGAACUGAUACCCAACAACGGAUAAGCAACUCCUAAAGCCAUCUGCUAAGGCUUUCAAGCCCUUCUCCUUUAGCUGAAGACAACAGUUAUCUGCCAAAAGGCAGAACACCAGUCCAUUUGACUUGGCACACCAAGUUUAAUCUCUAGUUGAACUACUCCCACAACCUGAGCAGAUGCACCUCUACUAGGACUGGUCAUUUUCCCCAAUCCUCUUCCUGCCCAGACCUUAAUGAGGGGUGCUCUUCCUUUCUCACUUUAAAUGUACAUAGCGGCAGGAAAAAAAAAAUGUCAAUACUGAACCAAAUGGGUAAAUCACACUUUAACUGCAAACUCAAGAGAAGACACAACCUAUGUAAGUAUACAUACAUUUAACAUAAGGAAAAGCAACAUACUCAUAGAUCUCUGAGGGAAAAGGCCUAAUGGUGAACCAACACCAUACAGGGAUUAAAACCUAGUAACAAAAUCCUUCUCUAUAAACACUUCAAAGUAAACAGGGUAUAUGCUCAUUGAAA